UACGUAGGGGGCAAGCGUUGUCCGGAAUCAUUGGGCGUAAAGCGCACGUAGGUGGUCUGUUAUGUCAGAUGUGAAAGCCCUCGGCUUAACUGAGGAAGUGCACCUGAAACUGGCAGGCUUGAGUACGAAAGAGGGUCGCGGAAUUCCCGGUGUAGAGGUGAAAUUCGUAGAUAUCGGGAGGAACACCGGUGGCGAAGGCGGCGACCUGGUUCGAUACUGACACUGAGGUGCGAAAGCGUGGGGAGCAAACAGG
rnacentral:rRNA from 1 species